rnacentral:rRNA from 1 species
CGCAUCUGUGCAUGCAGCAUAUCAAUAAGCGGAGGAAAAGAAACUAACAAGGAUUCCCUUAGUAACGGCGAGUGAAGCGGGAAGAGCUCAAAUUUGAAAUCUUGCAAGGUUUACCUUUCACGAAUUGUAGUUUAAAGAAGUGUUUUCUGCUGACGAUUUGGUAAUAAGUUCUUUGGAAUAGGACAUCAUAGAGGGUGAGAAUCCCGUAUAUUGACCAUUGGAUUUGUCAGCUUUGUGAUACACUUUCAAAGAGUCGGAUUGUUUGGGAAUGCAGUCCAAAAUGGGAUGGUAAAUUUCAUCUAAGGCUAAAUAUUGGCGAGAGACCGAUAGCGAACAAGUACCGUGAGGGAAAGAUGAAAAGAACUUUGAAAAGAGAGUUAAAUAGUACGUGGAAAUUGUCAAAAGGGAAGCGUUUAACACCAGUGUUGUUUUCUGAAAAUCAACCUCUGUUAGCUUUAUGCAUGUUUGUUUAGACCUAAUCAGCUAUCUUGCAUGUUCUAUUGUUUGCAGUGGUGCACUUUUCAGUUUACAGGUCAACAUCAGUUUUUUUUACCGUAAAAAAGUUAAAGAAAGGUAGCUCAUGGCUCCGGUCGUGAGUGUUAUAGUCUUUUUCCUAUGCGGUAGGAGAGACUGAGGUCUGCAGUGUAGGCUAUUUGGCUAGAUACUCAGGUGCUAUGUGAUACCAUUUCAUAAACAACUUGUUGAUUAUGUUUUGUCUAUUGCAUACUCGCUUGUACUAUCAUACCUACGCUUAGGAUGUUGACGAUCAGCUGAGCGCG